rnacentral:lncRNA from 1 species
UGGGAUGUGCCAAACCGCGCAAGUGAAUGUUUCUCUCUUUCAAGAGCUGUGAUACCAUUGGAGCUAGCUCAAAUCCCAGUAACAUGUGAUAGCCAACGUACAGAACAGGUCCUUCCGAAGGUAAACCUUCUAGGCUCCUUACAACUUUACCGUUUGCUAGAGUUGAUAGCAUUACAGGAGAAGUAGCAUCUAUUAGCAAUCUGCACCGUUAGAAAAUGAUCAUUUAGUAUAAGUUAUAACCUUUUACUUGAUAGACUGAUUUGUUUUAUUAAGGAUUUUUACUUGUGGUCGUCUAUUUGUUGUUUUAACUCAAAUGUGGUAGGCAUGAUGUAAUCUGACAGGUGGUCAUGAGACUUCCCACGGCGAUAAAAACAUGUGCACUUGAUGAUAGUAACCAGAUCUACACCCUCCUCCUAACAUAAGAUAGUUGAAGUGUAGUUAGUAUCAGUUUAUAUAUCUUCUGUGUUGGAUAAAGAGAGAUCAC